CGACCUGAGUUCAGGCAAGAGCACCCGCUGAAUUUAAGCAUAUCAAUAAGCGGAGGAAAAGAAACUAACCAGGAUUCCCCUAGUAGCGGCGAGCGAACCGGGAAGAGCCCAACAUGGAAAUCUCCUUGCUCCGCAAGGCGAAUUGUAGACUAGAGAGGCGACCUCUGCGGCUGGCCGGGCCCAAGUUCCCUGGAAAGGGGCGUCAGAGAGGGUGAGAACCCCGUAGGCACGGCUUCCGUCGCUCCACGAGGCGCUUUCGCUGAGUCGGGUUGUUUGGGAAUGCAGCCCAAAGCAGGUGGUAAAUCUCAUCUAAGGCUAAAUACCGACGGGAGACCGAUAGCGAGCAAGUACCGUGAGGGAAAGAU
rnacentral:rRNA from 1 species